rnacentral:rRNA from 1 species
GAUCCUGGCUCAGGACGAACGCUGGCGGCGUGCCUAAUACAUGCAAGUCGAGCGAAGUUUUUCUGGUGCUUGCACUAGAAAAACUUAGCGGCGAACGGGUGAGUAACACGUAAAGAACCUGCCUCAUAGACUGGGACAACUAUUGGAAACGAUAGCUAAUACCGGAUAACAGCAUUAACUGCAUGGUUGAUGUUUAAAAAGUUGGUUUUGCUAACACUAUGAGAUGGCUUUGCGGUGCAUUAG